ensembl:lncRNA
GACGAUUACUCGUCCGUAUUCUCUUUUCAGUUCGCCCUCGCCCGGUGGUCAUCUCUCUUUCCACUUGGAUCUCUCCGUUCCUUCAGUUGUGUGGAGAGAGGACACGGCAGACAGUCCCUCUGUGUCCGCGUCUCCGCACUGAGAGAGGGCUCUUACACGGGCAGACGAGGAGAGUCCCUGGUGGAAUGGGAGCUAGAUGAGGGAGCUGAUUGUGUGCCUGUAUGUGCACUACACGCACACACAACCCGACACACACACACACACACAAUCCUAAGGGCCUCCUUAAUGAUGCUGAUGGGAUGAUAAAAGGAUUUGUCAGUUGUCUAACAGAUCAAACACACUACCCUACAGAGUAUGUGUGUCUCACAUUUGUAUUUGCUGUGCCCCCCCCCCCUCCCCAUUUAAACAACAAAUGCUUUGAAUGGACGGGUGGUGGUACUCUAAUCACUUUCACAGCGCCGUCCUCUCCGUCUGGACAGUCAGACAGCUGGCCCGGCCAUCUUCAUGUGCCUUUGACGACAGUCUCACCACUUCGCUGUAUGUAUGUACAACCGUCCAAGGAGCACAAGCACCAGCCCCAGUACCAGCACCAGCACCAACACCAGCCCCAACACCAGCCCCAGUACCAGCCCCAGCACCAGCACCAGCCCCAACAUCAGCCCCAACACCAGCCCCAGUACCAGCCCCAGGACCAGCCCCAGUACCAGCACCAGCCCCAGCACCAGCCCCAGCACCAGCCCCAACACCAGCACCAGCCCCAGCACCAGUACCAGCCCCAGUACCAGCCCCAGUACCAGCCCCAGCACCAGCCCCAGUACCAGCCCCAGUACCAGCCCCAGCCCCAGUACCAGCCCCAGUACCAGCCCCAGCCCCAGUACCAGCCCCAGCCCCAGUACCAGAAAUGUAUCUCUGGAUACAGUUGGCACUUGUUCCUGCAC